ACUCAUGCCACUCUGAUCUCAUUGAAACAAAGAAAGAUAGAGAUGAGCCAGUUUUGCUUAUUUUACUCUUUAAGGGAGUACAAAAGAACUCAGGUCUUUGGAUUUUUGUUUGGUUUAAUUCUGGAUCACUAGCAGUGAUCAUACUAAGUCUUUAGGCCUUGAUCCUGCAGAAAUGCUUAAUACUUAACAUAAUAGGAAUAGUUCUUCCCUCUGCAGCUUCUGCUCUAUACGGGAAUUUGUAUUUUUUCCUUCAGGUGCUGUUCCAGCCAAGGAUGCAGUUCUUCCUGACAUAUUACAGAACCUCUCUGGUUUGCAGUUUCACUUACAAGUUGCCUGCAUGAAGCUGGGGAUGGAUUCUUCAGACACAGAGUGAGCAGUAAGUGGCACAGUGUUACUAAGUAGUUUGCUGCCUUGAUGUGAGGUGCUGCUUUCUGUGGAUUUGUCGUUCUGCUCCAAUGGGCCGCUGUUAUCAGAGUCUGAGGGCAGUCUGGUAUUGUUGACAUGUGUUUGAGUUCUUCU